AAAGCGGAUGAGAUGUGAGCUGUGGUCGUUCGGCUUAUUUUUAGCUCCACCUAUCUAGUGUAACUUGCUUGAACAAGCGGCCUAGGAAGAGAUAACUGUUCUAGCCGUAGACACCAAUCUUUGUUAAGAGAUCGGAUGCCCAGUCUCUUCGCCUACAUUGAUAAGGUAUCUGAUCGCAUGUGACUUCAGACAACCUUAUUCACCAGACCGACCACUGCAGACAUCCCUCGGGUGUGGAAACGAUUAUACUCACCAGGGGAAUCGAACUCACGGUCUCAAAGUGCUUCGUUUACUAUGUGACGCGUUGUCCGACUCACCCACCCGACCCGCUAUCGUUUUACAUUAAUAGUUGUACUGUAUUUUAAACAUUGAUGUGGCAUGUUCAUCUGGCUAUCAACUCCCAACGACUCUUGUAUGGUCAUUUUUAGCAUUUAAUCCCAAAACAAAGUCUCAAGAAAUUACGAAAAUUAUAAGAAAAAAAAAUUUAGUAAGGACUGGGGCAAGGACAUUACCCAAUUUUGGCAACAUUGGUGCAACAAUUAAUCGUCGUCUGCCGUUUCAAUUUGGAGUUUGGUGUUUGGACACCCGAGGAGGAGAGAAUCUACAAGAAAACCAAACAUCCAAGAUUCCAAGUCUUCCUUAAAAAUUACUGAAUUCAGUUGGUGAAUUGAAUUCAGGAAUGCCCUUGUUGCACCAUUGGAUUGGAUUGGAUCGGAAUGCAUAGCUGUCUUUCUUUGGCACAGGGAAGGGCAUUUAUUGCUUCAACCCAUGUGCAUGUGCUUCAGUUAAUCUUGAUGUGGUUGUGCGGCCUUGCUAUUGCUAGAUACUUGGGAGUAAUUUUCCUGCCUGUGGCUGUCAGGCAGCAGCAGCAUUUAAUUCGAGUUUUCACUAACUUUGACAUCAGUUAACAGUUAAUCUAACAUAAUCUAACAGUUAACCAAGAUCUCUCGGUUCGUGUGAGCAUGUGGACAUGCAUUUGUAAUGUGUAUUAUUACCAGAGAAGAGCUCUGCUGGGUGCUGGAGUAAUCUAGUCUCCAUCGCACUUGACUCAUUUCAUUUUCUGGAUUUCUUAGGGUGACUACACU